rnacentral:lncRNA from 1 species
UUUUCUUAAUGAUCAAAUAAUAUAAAAAUAAAUAAGGACUUAAGCCCACAAAUGAAAGUACAAGAUACAACAAGCACCAGAAGUGCCAAGCUUACAUGGCAGCAAAAGACAAACAAACACACAAUAUAAAAUAAAACAAAAUAAACAACCACUACAGACAACCACAAUCAAAACAACCAAUAAAAAGAGAAACAAGAGAGCUACACUUCUACUCACACAGUGAUACACCACCCAACCAGAACCAAACUAGAUCUCGGACACCAGAACCAGAGAACCCAGACAAGAGUCACAAAGAAAUAUCAAUAAACCACAUAAUACCAUGGAGUCAUGGCGGAAAUCUCUAUCGUUAUUCAAUCAGACAUGUGAUAGGGUUAUGAAACCAAUUGGAGAAUGAUAGAGAGUUCAACUAAGUUUUUGAUGGAACCAAUUCCGUGUCAAAAAAAUACUUUUAUCAUUCAUCUCUUUCACAUUUAUUGAUGAACCGAUGAAAAUCUUAUCAUUACAAACAUACUAGAUAGUCCACACCACAACAUGCCAAAUCAUAAUAAACACAACUGUAAUUUUAGUCUUAGAACCUAAAGAGAAGAAAAAUAAAAGUAAAAUAAAAAUUAAGAUCCUUGGAAAGAGCUAGAUGCAUCCUCUAAUCACCUAAAAAUCCUAUUCCAGGCACUAAAAAUGAAGCUACAGGUCACAGACAAAUUGAAGACUAACUCUACAUGAUCCUGCCAAAAAGUAAAGGAUGUCAUCUCAUAAUCGAUAAUAAUAUUCCGCUUAAAUAGAUUUUUCUUAAAAAGUAAUCUAUCUCGCAAAAGUUACUUAAAAACCACGACCUUAGAGGGGAUCCAACUCUCCCAAAUCGCAUGAAGGUUUGGGAACACAUUCAUAUUAUAAGUGGAUAAGUAAGGUAUAGUUAGUUCAGAC